rnacentral:rRNA from 1 species
UACGUAGGCAGCGAGCGUUGUUCGGAGUUACUGGGCGUAAAGGGUGCGUAGGCGGUUGUUUAAGUUUGGCGUGAAAUCUCCCGGCUCAACUGGGAGGGUGCGCCGAAUACUGAAUGACUAGAGUGCGGGAGAGGAGAGUGGAAUUCCUGGUGUAGCGGUGAAAUGCGUAGAUAUCAGGAGGAACACCGGUGGUGUAGACGGCUCUCUGGACCGUAACUGACGCUGAGGAGCGAAAGCGUGGGGAGCGAACAGG